GAAAUGCAUCUUAGACAGCAAGUAGAAGAAAGUUGUCUGGAAUGGAGGUGAGAAUGGUACCUCUGACUGGAAUGGUCUCCUGCGAAGGAAAGAAAUCUCCCUGAUGGAAGAAAGCAAUUAUUGCGAAAAUCCAAACCCAAACAAAUGUUCAAUCAAGAUAUAACUUCUAUCAAAAAAUCUUCAGUGAGAAAACUUCAGUUUACUGAAGGUUUGUACAUGACCCUGGAAGAAAGAGGCUGCUUGCUCACUCCAACAGUGAAUGAGAUGCUGAAGCAAUAUGCUUGAAAUGUGGUGUUGGCUACAAAGUACCACACCUGAAAUGCUUCUACACUAAUGGCCUCAGCGUGAGGAACAAACAAGAGGAGCUGGAACCUUUGGCCCACUCCCAGAGAUUCGACAACAUUGGC